rnacentral:rRNA from 1 species
UACAGAGGGUGCAAGCGUUGUUCGGAAUUAUUGGGCGUAAAGCGCGUGUAGGCGGCUUUGCAAGUCGGGUGUGAAAUCCCUCAGCUCAACUGAGGAAGUGCGCCCGAAACUGCAGAGCUUGAGUACCGGAGAGGAUGGCGGAAUUCCCCAAGUAGAGGUGAAAUUCGUAGAUAUGGGGAGGAACACCGGUGGCGAAGGCGGCUAUCUGGACAGAAACUGACGCUGAGGCGCGAAAGCUAGGGGAGCAAACAGG